UCCUUGGUGGUCCAGUGGCUAAGACUCUGUGCUUGCAAUGCACGGGGCCUGGGUUCAGUUCCUGGUCAAGGAA
rfam:Ovis aries breed Texel chromosome 1, whole genome shotgun sequence.